UACGAACUGUGCGAACGUUAUUCGGAAUCACUGGGCUUACAGGGUGCGUAGGCGGCCGAACAAGUCAGGUGUGAAAGCCCUCGGCUCAACCGAGGAACUGCGCUUGAAACUGUUUGGCUCGAGUCAACUAGAGGUGCACGGAACUUCCAGUGGAGCGGUGAAAUGUGUUGAUAUUGGAAGGAACACCGGUGGCGAAGGCGGGUCUCUGGGCCGAUACUGACGCUGAGGAGCGAAAGCGUGGGGAGCAAACAGG
rnacentral:rRNA from 1 species